UACGUAGGGCGCAAGCGUUGUCCGGAAUUAUUGGGCGUAAAGAGCUCGUAGGCGGUCAGUCGCGUCUGCUGUGAAAACUCGGGGCUUAACUCCGGGCCUGCAGUGGGUACGGGCUGACUAGAGUGCGGUAGGGGAGACUGGAAUUCCUGGUGUAGCGGUGAAAUGCGCAGAGUAUCAGGAGGAACACCGGUGGCGAAGGCGGGUCUCUGGGCCGUAACUGACGCUGAGGCGCGAAAGCGUGGGGAGCAAACAGG
rnacentral:rRNA from 1 species